UGUUGAAACACCAGUACUCAUACAAUCACCUAAGUUAAGCAAUGUCGACCUCAGUCAGUACCUAGAUGGGUGACCACUUGGGAAUAUCAGGUGCUGUAAG
rnacentral:rRNA from 1 species